rnacentral:rRNA from 1 species
AUGACCAGAGACAAAUAUAUGUUUCGUGAGCUUGCUGAAAACGACGGCGCUCGAAAGUAUGUCAAUUUCGGUGAUAACUCAAAGGGUAAGGUGGUUGGCCUCGGUAAGGUGGCCAUCUCACAUGAUAGCUCCAUACAAAAUGUCAUGCUCGUUGAAUCUCUUGGGUACAAUUUACUUUCAGUAUCUAGACUUGCUGAUUUCGGUUUCAAUGUCCUAUUUACUGAAGUAGACUGCCAAGUUUUUCGAAGAGACAAUCAUAAAAUGGUCUUUACCGGUAUACGUAGAGGUGAUCUUUACAUUGUUGAUUUCACUAAAAAGGCUCAACCUAGAACUUGA